rnacentral:rRNA from 1 species
GAUGAACGCUAGCGGCAGGCCUAAUACAUGCAAGUCGGACGGGAUUGGGGAGCUUGCUCCCCAUGAGAGUGGCGCACGGGUGCGUAACACGUAUGUAACCUACCCUUGUCAGGGGGAUAGCCUCUCGAAAGAGAGAUUAACACCGCAUAACAUUAUUGGAUGGCAUCAUUUAAUAAUCAAAUAUUUAUAGGACUAGGAUGGGCAUGCGGGACAUUAGCUAGUUGGUAGGGUAACGGCUUACCAAGGCUACGAUGUCUAGGGGAUCUGAGAGGAUGGCCCCCCACACUGGUACUGAGACACGGACCAGACUCCUACCGGCGGCAGCAGUAAGGAAUAUUGGUCAAUGGGCGCAGGCCUGAACCAGCCAUGCCGCGUGCAGGAAGACGGCCCUACGGGUUGUAAACUGCUUUUGCGCCGGAAUAAACCCUUUUACGAGUAAGAGGCUGAAUGUACGGCGAGAAUAAGGGGUUGCUAAACUCGUGCCAGCCGCCGCGGUAACAC